AGGAGAAUCCUAGUGUGGUCGAGGUGUAGUGUUGUCCAACCUUUGGAAGUACAAUGACCAAUCGAGGAAAGAAGAAUCAAAAGAUGUACCCCAAUAAGGUUAUACCCAACAUGACAAUGUCAUGGAGCUUCUGCCACAAUCAUAUGCGAGGACUCUUGAUUGUUCUAGGGGAGUAUCAUAUGUAGAACUUUUUUCAGAGAAAAGAUGUAGACUUGAGGCAUCUUUAGAGCCUUGGAAUACUUCAAAGAGACUUGAUUUUGAUGAGCCCCCAUAAGUUUAGGAUGUGCUAGAGACAUGUAAUAGUCAUUUGUGGACAAUUUGGGAUUCAUACAUAGUUAUUUUGCAUGCAUAUUUUGUAUAUAUAUUGAGAUGGCAUGUGCCACAUUUUAUUAAAUUUUGUUUGAGUUGGUG